CAAAGGGUAGUUUAAUAAAAUAUUAGUUUUGGGGACUAAAGAAAGAGCUUAGGCUUUACCUUUGA
rnacentral:tRNA from 1 species